CAGCAGCCACGGUAAUACAGAGGGUGCGAGCGUUAAUCGGAUUUACUGGGCGUAAAGCGUGCGUAGGCGGCUUUUUGAGUCGGAUGUGAAAUCCCUGAGCUUAACUUAGGAAUUGCAUUCGAUACUGGGAAGCUAGAGUAUGGGAGAGGAUGGUAGAAUUCCAGGUGUAGCGGUGAAAUGCGUAGAGAUCUGGAGGAAUACCGAUGGCGAAGGCAGCCAUCUGGCCUAAUACUGACGCUGAGGUACGAAAGCAUGGGGAGCAAACAGGAUUAGAUACCCGUGUAGUCCCUGUCUCUUAUAC
rnacentral:rRNA from 1 species